CACUAUCUGCUUUGUAAAAUGUCACUCUCCAUCUUUUUUUAAAAGCUCCCUUUAAGUACUGAAAAGCUUCAAUGAGGCCUCCCUGGAGCCUUUUCUAACUAGGAGUGUUAACUUUAGUAUUUUAAUGCCAUCAAUAGAAAAAUGUGUGUUGAACAUAGAGAAAUGUUAACCUUCUGUUGACUUCAGUCAGGUAAGUUUUUUCUGUGUAUUGAGUCAUUGAAACCUGUUUACUGGUAGCUUUUUGGUGUGGGGAAAUUUGUUCUUUCACUGAGGAAAGUGCCAGUCCUCAUGCUCAGUCUUUGUGAGGAAAGCUUAGGUCAGUGAUGAGAUUGAGCCCAGUAGUGUGCAGACCAGGGGAUGGCCUCUGAGGUGUGAAGCAGUAUCUUCUGUAUGGGGAACCUGUUCUUGCAUUGGUUGAGUUUCUUAGUGGGUGGUGCUAGAGAACUGGGGUUGUGUUGGGCUGAAGCUCUCAUGGAUACUCUCUGGUCAUCUGUUGGAAGCUGCAGCUUUCCUAUUUUCAAGUGACUGCUGAGAUUACAAGUUCCUCAUUUAAUCUGAAGCAGAAACAGCUUAACUUGAGUGGCAGACCCCCUACCAGAGGCAGGUGCUCCUACCACCCUGUAAGCCUAUGACUGCCUCAGAGGAGCUGGAUGACCCAGAGUGUUCAGGGAAGCAUUUCCAGGUUUGGCAGUCAAUACUCCUUCCCACCAAGAGUGACUGGUGUCUCCUGUGGCCUGUCAAGCAGCUGUGCUGAAACUGCUGUACAAUACAAGCCACUGUCUUUAAAGCCAUAGUCUUCUCUGUUGACAGUGUUAGUGGGGACUAUUUUCAUCAUGUCUUUUCACUCUUCUGGGAAGACAACCACAAACUGGUAGAGCUUCUUGACCGGUGACCUGUUCUUGUUUGGUCCCUUAGUGUGAGGAGCUGAUAGGUUUUUUAACAGAAGUAAUUCUAAAUGCCUUUUGCCCCUCAUAGCAGGAGUGAGAGGACACAGCAAAGUAUCUGAAUCUUUCUCUGUACCUUGCUAACACUGCCAAUGGAUGAACUGUGCACUUCUUUGCUACUGCAGCCCUCCCUAAAUGCUGUCAGAUGAAAGGAAAACUGGCUGGUCCCAUAGUGCAUGGAAGAAUGGCAAUGUCACCUUCUCCACUGGACAGUGUGUCUCUCAGAGGAUUUUUACACUCUGAAGUCAUCUGGGUUGUCUGCAUUUCUGGUUAUGGACUCCGUGAGUUGUGCUGCAUCAUUACAACCAGAACCAUUUGCUGGAGUUUGCCAGGUGCCAGAACCUGGACUGGGAGAGCUUUCCUUCAGGCACAGACUGCACAAUCCUCCUCUUAAAUGUUCUGGUUUUUACAACCCCUCAGUGUUUGUCAAGAAGCUGUUGCUGUUUGAGUGUACUUUGACAUCGUACUUGAGUUAAUCUUCUUUGGCUUUAUCCUUUAAGUCAGCCUUUUGACGAAGUCUGGGGGCCAGGUUUAAUCUUAGAUGGUUCUUGCUCUUUUUCUAGUCAGCAACUUAAAAUUGUCUGUUUUCUUCCUGUGGUGCACGUGUGUUUAAGCCAGGAUUACAGGAAAGCCCAGUGCAAACAGACAGAGGACAUUUGAUUGCCACUACCCUCCCCUGGCUGCCUUCUGAGGGAUUUUGGAAGUAUUUUGGGGUCCCUAAGAGUAUGUGGACUACAGCUACAAUAGAAAGGAUGUGAGUUUGUCAAUAGACUUGAUAAAAAAAUAUUAGAAAUCCACAUGGUUAGGGCUGUUUGAUUUGCGGGCAGCCUCUGGCAGUAUAGAGGAGUCAAGCAAGCUCAUGCAAAAGUUGUGGUGUGCCUUUAGCUGUGCCAGAAAGCAAGUUCUUUCUUAAGGUAAAAAGGCCUUUAAAUCUGCUUUUAACAGAUUUCUGUGGUGUUUCUUAGCCAACAACACUGCACAGAAAUCACUGCAGCCCGGGGAUUUGUACAAAUCACAGGCUUCUCUUCAACUCUUAGAGUUGAAUAUGUAUCUUAAUAUUUUGGUUGAUCAUGCUUUUUCUUGAAUGUUUUGACAUUUAAAACCUUUACACAAAAAUAGAAAUAGGUGAGAAUAGAAAAAAACUCCACUCUUUCAAGUUUAAAAUAAUGCUUCAUUUUUUAAAAGAGCUGUGGAACACAGAGAUUUGUACUUUUUCUUGUCAAAAUUAGCUACAAGUCUCCUUGGAAAAUCAGUCAAAUAUAUUGAAUAUAUACAUGUGUGUGGGGGGGAUGGCUGCUGUUGUUACGAAAACUUUGAGCAAGCUAACACUGCACUUCCUUAUCAGAUGCCCCAGAAAUGUUUGGCAUUGAAGGAAGUAGGCAGCAGUGGAUGAGUGAAUGUGGGGUCCUUGAAUAAUUGACAGAGGAGGAAAAAGGAGGAUUAAGCCCAUGGCUGCUUUGCCAGUUUCCAUUAUUUGAGGAAUGUGCUUUAAAGUGAUAGGUCCUAAACUUCUCUGAUAUCUUGAGAAUUUUAUUAAAAAGAGUGUCUAAGAGCUACUAAACUUUCUUAAAAUUGCAAUUGGUAUGUAGAUAUCUUCAAGGUACGGGGCUCAGAUCCUUCACUCAUUGCUCCAAAACUAAGUUUAAGAAGUAUUUUUUGCAAAGCCAGUCUUGGAAGAAAUGUUCUUUUCUUCAUCUCCCUCUCUUCAUCUCUCAUCUUCUUAGGUAAAUGACAAAUUCUUAAGACUUAGCUAACAGAGGAGAGAUGGAAAUCGUUCUCCAUGAUAACUGAAUGCUUGAAAUACAAUGUUCAACUUAAAUCUGUAGAAAAAAAUCCUUGAGAAAUUUUUGAAAUGUAGUUCUGUAAUUCCUGCUUUGUCACAGAGACUGUUUUGUGUGAAUUGUGUGGUGUUUGGAAUGUUGGCUCAAUUUUUUCUAAUCUAUAGGGCAUUUUCUAGGGGUCACGAUGGGUUUAGUAAUCGCAUCCACCACAGACCGUGAUCGUGCUGAGCAGCAGUGAUGGCACGUAGUUCAAAGUCUCUUUCCCAACUCUCUGCCGUGGUGUCAGGGUGAAUGUAGGCAAACAGUGCCUUGCUGGGGCUGUGCCUCGUCCAGCUGUGUCGCCUGCAAUGCCUGGGUGCAUGUGAGCUGACUUCAGAAGAGCUUUGUUGGCUUUCCUGUGAUUUCAAAACCAACCUUCAGCAAAUAUGUUUACUUUAUAUUCUGCUCCUCUCUUUUUUCUUUUUUCUUUCUUUUUUUUUUUUUUUUUGGAUGCCCUAUUUCUUGCUCCUUUUUGUGUUUUGUUCUGAGCAUGCUUGCGAGCCUGUGUUUUACAUGUCGCAAAACUGUAAAAUUGUGAAUUAUCUCAUUGUUUUAAGCUAGCAGCGGACAGGAAGAAAGUGGAAAAUACUGAAUAGGCAGCAUAUUGCUGCAUAGGCAUUUAAUGUUGUUACAGUGUGAUAUAAGUUAAAAUAUUGCUUAUUUCCUCUUUGCUGUUCAAAACAACCUGGAGCAUGUUAUGACCAGGAUAUAAACAAUAACUGAAAAAGUAAAAACAAAUGUUUUAACAGAGAAAGGCAUGGCCUGCCAAAUACUCUGGGUAAUUUAUGAUUACAUGAAUAAUCAACAGACAAAAUACUUGAAAACGCCUGACUUUAUGGGGGAAGACCUUAAUUUCUUUUUAAAACCAAAUGAAAAUGUGCAAAAAUUCCCUGCAAUAUCUUCAAAACUGAAAAGAAUCCAAAAAUUAAGCACGAGCAGCAAGGGCUUCAGUGUUUCCUGCAGUGGCCAGCUGUUUAACUGUAUUAGCUGUAUUUAGCUAUUUCCAGAUCUGUGGAAAUAAACCAAAUAUAUAUCAAUGACGAAUCAUUAUAAAAUUUCAUAAACAAAGUUGACUAGAUAAUAUUGGGAAACAGGCUUCAGUAAACAUGCUUUCUUUUUUUCUUGUUUCAUCCUUAUUUUUAAAGAGGGCUUUAUGUGACCCACAGAAUAAAUAACUUCCUGUGUCUUGAUAGCUAUUACAAAUGACAGCUCCUACUGCUGACAUUCCUGCUAUUUUUAAUCAGAUCUAAGUUAAUGUCCUGUAAAUUUCAUUUAUUUAUUUAUUUAUUUGAAAUGAGUGCCCUAUUCUGACCAGCUCAGUUAAAGAGUUUGCACAUCUUUGGAGCUGCACAGGGGCUGCAUUGCUUCUCUGCCUGUCUGCAAGAGGCAGAACUAAACUGCAGUACUUGAAAGAAGCAAAAGCUGUUGGGAGACAAAUACUGAGCAAGUCCAUCUAGAGUAACUUAAAACUUCCGUCUUGCACCUCUGUGAAUUGAUUUACGGCAUUUUAGCUCUCAGUGUCAGCUGUGCUUUUGCCUUGAUAUGAUUUAAUGCAUAUCAGGGGAAAGCUGAUGGGAAGCUCCACUGCUUUCUUCAUCUUUGAGCAAAAGGAUGGGAGGCCCCUAGCAGGCCUUUUGAUUGGGAAUUUGACUGUUGCAGUCCUUAAAUCUGAAUAUUGAGGCUGGCAGGCUCAGGCUGCCCAGUUACACGUGGGCUUCUCUUCAAGGGGGAUUGUGGUGAAGAUGGUGAAGCUUGCCCCACGUGAAGACUGUGACCUCUAGGAGGAGGAAGCCUAAUCUGGAAGUUGAUAAGAGCUUUUUGGGUUUGAGGGAUUAGCAUAGAGGAGGGGAGGCUUUUCAAAAACAAUGUUUUCUUUUCUGAACUGAUAAGAGUGAUAGAAUGUACUCCCUGGGACACCUCCUGUUCCAGCUGGUUAAAAGGCACCUUAUGCCCAGAGCUUUCCUGUGUCGGGCUCUGUCCAGGGGAAUGGGAUGCUGAAUGAGGUCUGCUCUCUGAGCACCCGUGCUAAGACCAGUUUCUUUGUGUAUGUCAAAUGGAAAGAAAUAGUAAUGAGGGGUAAUUUAUUAGACCUAGUUGGUAGGAAAAAUCUAGCACUCAAAAUGUCUAACAAAGCUAGUUUUUGUGCAAGUGUCCCACUCUGGAAGCUGUCUUAUUUUGUGUUCAAUGGGGUUCUGCACCUCUAGCAGCAGAUGUGUAUGUAAAAGAUCUCAAGCCACAAUGGUGGUGCUAAUCUUCCUUUUCAUUGUCCUCAUUGUAAUACUUUACUGCUUAAAACAAGGACAUUUGGGUAUAGUAAUGAGUGCUGGUGCUCUUGGGCUUUACUCUGUUAAUUCCAUUCUUGUCAUUAAAAACAUGAUUUUUUUUCUUGUCCUUUUUACUUUUCUUGUUUGUGAAGGAGGAAAGCAAAUAAGUACAGAGCUGAUGAUUUAAGUCACUGUUGCCAGAUGACAUUCUAUGGGAAUGUGGACUUGCCAGUAUGUAGAUUGUAAAUAUUUAUUUGAUUUAAUAAGGGUCUCUUUAAGUACAGAGCACAGCCUACAGUAGAGAGGGACUAGGAAUGCUUCCAAAAUAGGUGUGAGGGAAGAAAUUUGCCUUAAGAUUUCCCUCCUCUGGGUGCUCAUCUUGAUCUGAAGAAUACUGCUCUGCCUCCCAUAACCUACUGAAAAUUGUGAGCCUGUCUGGGGAUAACUGUUCAGAGGUGGUGCUACAUGUUUUGCAAGAUUGGACAACUCUGGCUUUAUAAUACUGAGCAGAUGUCAUAAAACCCAGUGAUUCUUGAACUAUGGCCUGAAGAACAUCACAGAGAGCAGCAUCUGAGAGGAAGACGCUGGCAUGAACAGUGCAGCCACCCAACAGGAGUCUUUCAAGUCCCAAGGAAAUCAACUAAAAUCCCUUUUAAGUAUUAACCUUACCUUUUGAAAGAGGGUGGCUGCAAGUGGCCAGACAGUGGAGAGGUGCAGUGCACGCUGGAAUAUAGCCAAAGGCUGUCCUGAAAUUUGGAUGAGGGUUUUUUGCUGGCUUUGGAGUAGUAAAUUGUGUUACAUAAAAUCUGCUAGGCUGUGGGAGCAAACUUGAAUUGGAAAGAGCUCUCUUGAAGAGAGUGUGCUGGUGGUCUGACCUGCUUCUGUGGUGGGGGGAAAUAAGUACCAAGGCAAACUGUGUUCUAAGAAGCUGGGGAGAAACAUAAUGCCUAGUUUAUGUGGUGCCUUCUUGGGAUGUACAAAGAGGAGUAAUUGAAGAUGUAUAAUUGCUUCUUGUGAAUUUGGGGUAUAAAAACACAAAGAGAAAUGAACAAAUAUUGACUGUAUAAAGCAAUAUCCUUUACCUAUUUGCAUUAUGCAGGAGUUUAGAGAGAACUUGAAUAUGAUACUAUUUAAGCUAUUUUAAUAAAAAUGUAAGAAAUCAGUUUUUUUCUGCUACUGCUUUGUUAACAGGAAAAUUAUACUUUAUUUUCUUUUCAUGUUUAAGACAGAUAAAGAGUAAAUUGGCUAGAGGAAACAUAAAUAGUAAAACAGUGACUAUGUACUGGACUGCAUUCAGAUGCAAAAGAAACUGAGGGAAAGAGGAAUGUCACUUUCUUUUUUCCUCAGUUUCUCUUGUGUACUACAUCAACAUCAGAUAUUUACAACACUAGGUGAAAUUCAUGGUGUGGUUGUUAUUUUUAAGCUGACACUGUCCCCUUACAAAUAUGAAACCUUCAGCAUCUUAACCAUUAGAGGCACUAAAUAGUUUCUAAAGAUGAUUAAAGCCAAACAAAAUAUUCUACUUUGUUUUAGUUUUCUUUCAGUAGUUUGGGGGACUGUAUAAAUUCUGCUAGCAUAUCCUUGCACUUGUUUUAGUCAAAAUAAAGAUCAAAUCAUAGUGAGAUGUAGCUUAAGAUAUUGUUCAGCCUGUAAAUAAAAGGCUUUGCCCUUCUUUUCACAAGCCUUGCAGCUUCCUCAAGCCAGGGAUUUCCUGUGGGGCACAGCUAACCCUGCUGCAGAGGAAGCUUGCUGCUUUCAUUGACUCUUUGUUUCUGAAAAACUGAUAUUCAGUGACAUCCAUGACCACAGAAUGUGAGUCCUAUAGUCCUUUACUUGCUAAAUGAAAAGACUGACUCUGCUGUACUAAUACAAGUGUAAUAAGGAGAUAUAUUUCUUUUUUGUAUUCUAUGCAAAGGCUCAGUCAACGGAACUUUUUAUACUGUUGGUUCUGUACGUCCCCUUUGGUAUGUUGCUUCUCAAGGUGAGAAAUAUGGACAGCCUCGAGCUUCUCCAGGCAUGGCCAGCCCAUGGGCAGCACAGUGCAUGGGGAAAGUGCCAUGAGCAUAGCUCAUGUCUCCAGUACAUCCUGCUUUGCAUUACCUGCCUCACUUUUAACUCAUUUUCAACUGUUGUGGGCAGCACAUUGCUAGUAAAUCCAUCAGGUCCUGACAUUCAUUACAGCCCUUUAGGUUAUCAGUGGUUUUGUGGAAGCAAAUAGCCUUAAUUCGUGAAAAUGAACAUCUGCGGCUCCCUAGCAAAGUAACCAGCUGAAACCAAACAUACAGGUCUAGGUCUGCUUGUGCCUUUACCUAGACAAGUGUCAGAGAUCUGUUUUGGUCAUAAUGCAGGGAUUUUAGUUUGUAAAACUUAGGUGGCUUCUCAGGCAGGGAUCUUUACAGUUGUUCCACUUAACCAGUUUAAGCUUUUUGAGUAAUCCUAUCUGGGGUUUUUGAUUGUGGUUUUUUUCUUGGAAGUUCUCUGCAUGGUCUCAAAGGCUACCGCAAAAAAGCAACCCUAUUUUCUACUACAAUGUGCUUUCACCUCUGUAAUUUGCACUUAAGACCUUGGCCUACUUCUGACCUUAUUGCUUCUAAUUGGUAAGAACAUAUUUCCAGUGUUCCUUUUAAGAUGAUAUGCUAGUCUAAUUAGCAUUGAUAUAUUUAGCAUGUAUACACUUUUGUACCUCUUCAUUACAACUAACAAAUGUCAAUAAAAGGCAGUUUAGUUACAGAAAGAAAAAGAGCUGUGGGGAAAGAUUUCUAUAAACAGUGCUGUAGUCUUUGUGAUGAAUUGGGUGUAACAGUGGAGAGUGGCAGAGGUGAAGCAGGCUGUCUGUUAAACAGGAAACAAGUGAUUAACAUUUUUUGUCCUACUGAUCAUAAUUAUUCCCACUGGCUGAAAAAAAAAUAAACACUGCUUAGUCUUUUUACUGUAGCUGCAGAAUAAAAUUUGAGCUGUUAGUCAUUCUGGCAUUGUAUGGAUGAACUGCUACGUUAUUACUUAAUUUUUUUUUUCAGUUUAAUGAACUUUGCCUAUAAUUGUGAUUUGUGUUUUCCUUGCAAUAACCUGCUUUUGCUCUGCAUUUGAGGAUAGCUUUUCCUCAGGCCAUUAUGGCUGUGUGGUGCCUGCGUCCCUGCAGAGUCACAUUCCUGGCUGGUCACUGCAUUAGAGCUCACAGUGAAUAAUUGUAAAAGGGCUAUCUGCUCUCCAUGAUCACAGCAGGCUUCCUCAGGGCUUGAUGGACUACAGAUGAUUCCAAUGCUUUUAAUGCCUUUGAUGGGCACACCUUAGCAGUGGUGCUCACCUGGACUGCACUGUCAUUCUUUUGGUCUGGUGUUGGCAUUAUGCAGGUGUUCCCUCACCUUUCCUGAACAGAAGAUGGAGGCUUUUGUACGUGCAAUGGCAAUAUUUUGUAGGACUGGUUUGAAAGACUGAGUAUUUCCUUGACCUCUGAUGUUUUAUUAAUUGAGUUCCUUUACCGGCUUUUCUGUGAUAGCACCUGGUCUCUCAAGUUAAUCACAUGUCCUCCUGCUUUGCUGGUUUUGUGUUACUGACCUAAUUGCACAGGCUGCUUGUGAAGGCCAGAGAGAGUGCUUAAGGAGAGCAGAGAAAAAGCCUUAGUUUGAAGGGCAUUCUGACUUUGAGAUGUUCCUCUUCAGUGAGGUCUCCUUGUUGUCCUCCUGUGUCACUGAUGAACUCACUUCAUCAUGAGCUGUAUAUAUGCAUAUAUAUGUUUCAUAUUUGUGGAAAACAGAAAUGUUUAUUUACAAAUGUGGACCCCUUAUAUUUGUCAAACACUUGUUUUCCAUCUGUUGAAGUAGAAAGCUUGCAGCAUCAGUUUUGUAAAGGAAAUAUUAAAAUUUGUCUGGAUCACCAAAAAUAGUUAUCUCUGCUAUCUUUGAAAUUUUUUUAUUUGAUAUUUAUUUUUCUACACUUUACAACUUUUAAUGCUGUGAUAAAUGAAGCUGAUAAAUGAAGCCAUUGUCUAUCCUGAUGGCUAUUUGCCUUUUUUUUUUUUAAUGACACUGUGGUGCCUUCUUAUUGUUGCCUUUCUUUCAUCUUUGAAAAUGGAUAGAUUUUAGACAAACCUGUUGGCUGCCUUGGUUCCACAGAUGAUUUUACCAGAGGGAUGAAGGUGCAAAUUCAGCAAAUUUCAUUUAAAAAUCUCAUGUUUUUCAUUUGCAUUUUUUGUCCCUUUUUUCCCUAGCUGGUGUCAUGUAGUUUUCUUGGCUUUGGAAUCCUAGCAAAUGUCUAUGUAUUUGGUCUAUAUGAGUUGAUGAUACAUCAUGCCUGUAUUGUGCUCACAGAAAUACAUGUAGUUACGAAACACAGUAUUGACACUGAUGUAGGUGAUGGUUAACCUGGCUGUGGCCCUGUCUCUCUCUUGGAGGUACAGAAAAUGUAAGAGUGGUUAAAAGUUUUGGUUGAGAUCAUCAGAUGUGGAACAGUAUCCAGGUGUGUGCUUGCCCUGUGUGCACAUUUGACAUACUGUGAGCCUUGUUUAUGGUUUUUACUUUAAUUCUUCCAAAAUGCCUGUAGGGAGAGUAUGCAGUGUUAUCAUCUCAUUAGAAAUGUCCAAACUGCCAUUAUGGUAAUGUGCUUUCAAGAAGUCUGCCUAGGAUGUGGAAGAGGAUAUAGGGUAUGGCAAUUGGGAAAUACUCAAAUACAUGUCAAGAGAGUUGCCCACUCUGACAUGUAGUCAUGGACAGCCAAGUCUUAAACAUCAAUUUCUGAAGCUGGGUAUGCAUCUUCUGUUCCUGCAUGUUACCAUGAUCCAGAGAAGAACACUCCAGUGGUUAAGAAAUCCCCUCCCGUCCCCAGUGGCAGCAGGAUGCAACCUGGAGGAUGGCCAAGCACUUUCAGUGUUCAAAGUUUUUUUAGUCUGACAGCUAUGAGAAGGAAUCAUGGGAUAGUAUAAAUCUGUGAACUUGAAUGCAGAAUGUACAGGACUUAGAUUAAUGCCACUGACAUAUGGCCACAGGAAGCCCCUUUGUGUUCAGGAGAGAUGUAUAGCAA